UUUCUCUCGUCCAUCUCCCCUAUGCUGAUUCCACGAAGAAGUCGCAAUCUCGUCGAUUGUAUUUUAUCGACGAUAGACCAACGAACAGUGAGCAAUUAGUCGCGCAAGGAAAAUAAUAAAGAAAAGACUAUCCAUCUCCGAGUCGUCGUGGGUUCUCAGAGAGUUACGCGUAUCGGACAGCUAUCGAGACACUGCUAUCGAGACACAGCUAUCGGGACAAGGAGGGUCAGGGUUCGUCAUCUCUCGUCGUUCCAUAACCAUAAACAGGCUCGUCGAACGGCUUUCCAUCGAUCUCGAGUCCAGGCAAGACGGCAGAGGCAAGUCGAGCUAGCUAGCUCGCUCGUUCGCUAGCCAGCCAGCCAGCCAGCCAGCCAGCCAGUCAGCCACGUCGCCGACUCGUGCCGUAUUCUUCCUUCUCUCUCGUUGCACAAACAGAGACAAAGAGAUAUACAGAUAUAUAUAUAUAUAUAUAGAAAGAGAGAGAGAUACUCCUGCUGUGGAAGAAGAAAUCGAAAAGAAAUAAGAUAAAGCUUGGAAAGAGAUGGAGGAGAGAGACCGAGGAAGAAGCCGUAUUUUUGUUCGCGAAAGAAACACAGAGAAAGAGGGAUCUCAGAGCACGUGCCAUCGUGAGAACACAUUUGAAAUGACGUUUUUGUUAUCCUCAACUUGUAACUUGAUGCGAUUCUAUUUCGUUGCAAAACAUCACUAGCGAUAAAGUGCCGAUGGAGAGCGAACGUUUCUCGCUCGUAUACAGUUUCGCGGGAGGAGGAAGAGAAGAAGAUUGUUUCAAGAGAAACGAUGGAAGGUCGCUACCCUGUCUAAAGAAAUCUGGAAGAAAAAUAAGAGUGACUCUGAACGCGGGACUAUCGUCACGCGCGUUUUUAAGAGAAUAAGCGCGAGAAUGUAUAUAAGCACGUUCUCAAAAGAGAACGCCACGCGAUAAACUGCACCGCGUCGACAAAGGAUCCGCGGAAUUUCAAGGAUUCUUGGCUUCCCGGCUAGUUUGACUGAAGGAACGAGAGAGAAUUAUCCGUAGAAUCCGGACAAUCUAAAUAGAAGCUCGAAGAGACUCGGAGGAGUAUGUUCUCGUCGAGGACAACGUAUGUAUAUAUGUAUUAGUAUUUGUAUAUACGUGUGUGUGUGUGUGUGUAUGCAUUUACAAUAUACGUAGUGUAUUGAAGUAUGAAAAGGGGGGAAUAGAGGAAAAAAAAAAGAAGAAUAGAGGGAACGACGAGGAAGACGAGGACGGCUUCCCGAUGUAACGUGGCACUCUCUUUGAGUUUCGUGCCAAAUGCCAGUGUCAGCAGCCGGCGUUUACCUACAACGUAGCCCGUUCUCUCUCUCUUUCUCUCUCCCCCUCCCUCUCUCUUCUUUCUAGCCUAGACGUCAACGUCGAUAAAGCGAAACUCGCGAGAUAACGUCUGUGUGCAUAGUCGAUGAAAUUUAUUUGAUAUACAAGCUGAUAAAAAUACGACUCGUCAUAGAGUACGUAUGUAAUGGUACGUGAGCUAGCAACGGUACUUGUAUGACCCCCAAGUAGUCUCCCUCUUUAAGUUCUCGACUUUAUGAGACUAAAGACGAAAGUACAUAGAUAAUAUACACAGGUAUAUACAUAUAUAUAUAGAUAAUAAAAAAUGUGACGCGGCAUAAGAUUUUAGAUCCAGUCGAGAACUAAUAAAAACAAUUUUACUGGAAUCGCAUUGCGGAGACGACGCAAGAAUAUAUGUGAUAUGCGAUUAACGAGGAUUAGUACUUUGGUACAUACAUUCGCGUUAUAUUCGAGCGUACACGGCAAAGGAGAUAAUGAGAGGCUCUCGAGCCUAAACUAGGAAAUAGAGUCAGGUCUUGUGGUCGAUCGUCGAGCAACUAAGUUAGCAGUAAACGCAUCGAUUACACGCUCAUUUAAUCGCGACCGCAAAAAUGAACCGCACAUUGCUGUAUAGUCGUCGGCAACAACAGCAGCAGCAGCAGCAGCAGCAGCAGCAGCAGCAGCAGCAGCAGCAGCAGUAGCCAUGCUAAUCUAUGAUCGCUUACGAUCGAACACAAAAGCUGUAAUUCCAUUGGGAGAUAUCUCGUAUCUAACGAGAAGGCUCGCUCGGAGAUCGGCAAUAGGCCGAACGAAGGAAAGAAGCGGAAUGGAACGGAACGGAACGGAACGGAACGGAACGGAACGAAUGGUGACCUUGAACCGGUGACUUCAAGCGAACACACAUACACACACACACACAUAUGUGUAUAGAUAUAUAUAUAUCUAUAUAUGUACAUAGAGGGAGAGAGAGGAUGUACUCUCGCAUAAUUAUUUUUUUCUCUUUUUAUUUUUUCCACGAAAACUCGACAAGUUGAUGUAUUCCUGUUUGUUUCAACGACGAGGCUGCUAGCAACAGGUGCCUUCCUUCGGCGUCUUUUGCAAAGUGCAAGAGCCGCGCACCGACUCGCGACGUGAAUGAUACUCCAAGCUUUAUUCCGUUUUCUCAAAAACCUUUUUAUAUACCCUGUACAACGCGAAGAAAAGAAAAAAAGAAAGAAAGAAAGAAAGAAAGAAAGAAAGAACAUGAACAGGGAGAAAAUAAAGGGGGUCGAGGGGAGGGGAAGAAAAAAAAGAGAAGGUAAGAUAGAAGAGACGCAAGGAGAGUACAAAUGGUCGUAUUACGAAAGGUAGCUUGAAAUUCUGUUAAGCCGAGUACACACGUUCUUCACGGUAGGGAAGCGACGCGGCAUACGUGACCACGAAUUCUCUCGACGUACUACUAUACUCGCCGCAUGUUUGCUCGCUCGCGCGCACAUAGCUUGUGCGUGAGUAAGUAAGUAAGUAAGUAAACGAGUGAGUGAGUGAGUAAGUGCGUGCGUGCUCGCUCGCUUCUCUUCGUCGUCGUCGUCGUGUCGAGCGUUGCAAAGUUGUGGCGUCCGUCGUAAUCCUGCACGCCGCCAUGCGUUUCUGACGCCGUCCCUUUUUCCACACGACUCCUUUGUCCCAUAGAUCGAACAAAGGACUAGGCCGUUCCAAGGACGUGUCUAUAGGAGCCGCGCGACCGUUUAGGGUCACAAGUUCCGAGGUCUAUAGGACGAAAUAAAAAUCGAACUGGCGAAUCGAACGUGCGUACUUCUCUCUCACUUUCUUAUACGCAUACACAUAUAUACACAUAUGCAUGUAAUAUCCGCCCUCUAAACACGAGUUCAAAAAUAUAAAUGGAACAAAGGCCAUACUAUUAUUAUAUAAAAAUUACAAUGACAACGACGACGACGGUAGCAUGAACAUUAUGAUACGCCAAAUUUGUAAAUUUAUAAGUAUAAUACGUAUAAGUCGGAAAUAAAACAAUGUCAUUUUCUUGAUAUUCUCAGGUAAACAUUUUUUUACCUUCUUCUAUUAUCGAUACUAGGUAAAUAGUGAGGCAAAAAAAAUGGGGUCAUUAGUUUGAAAUAAAUCGCAUGUAUCCUUUCCUUGAAUUAAUCAUUAUUAAGGAUAUAUCACGCGUGUUCGCUCUCAAAGAAAGUGAUGGAACGUCCAUUUGUAAAAAGGACCUAAAGUAGACUACCUGAGACAAGGAGAAUCGUCCCUAGUUCGGUCGAUUUUCCUCGAGAUAAGGAAAGAGGAAAAUGGACUCGGAUGGAAUAUAUAUAUAUAUAUAUAUACAUGUACGUAUACAAACGUGCUUUCCAUCAGAUAAAAUCAAAUGAAAGAAGUCGGUGUGAAUUUAUGAUAACGAUUAGUUAAACGCGGACUUUGACAUACGAAAUACACAAAACAAUCUUGUAUCAUAAGGAUCUUAUUUCUCUCAGUCUUUUUAUCUUCCAAAUCCUUCCAAGUACCUUUCUGUUCCUCCUUUUAGUCUCAACUCGUUUAUUAACCUGUUAAUAAUAAGGAAAAUGUUUGAUAGAAAAAAGAAAAGAUGUGUCUGAUUUAAUUUUAAUA